rnacentral:lncRNA from 1 species
ACGUGACGAGGAACUAGCCUUAGCGAGGCCAUGGGGGAAAAAGUCUAACUGGCGGAACUCCUGGGAACUGGGGCGAUGGGCUCUUAGUAUCGGAGGAUUGGAGCCAUCUGAUUUUUACCUGAAAUUCCUUAGUCUCUCCUGUGUUGGGGAAAUGAGACCGGGACUUGCUGUGUUGCCCAGGCUGGUCUUGAACUCCUGGUCUUAAGCAAUCAUACUGCUUUGGCCACCCAAAGCACUGGGAUUACAGGCGUGAACCACCACACCCAGCUCUUAAAACCACAGUAUUUCUAGCCCCGCAGCAGUUCCCGAGACCUUGUGCCUCCUUCCCCGACGCCGCCUGCUCACCGGUGCCCUCGGGCAGGCUCAGGAUGUCCUCGCCCUGCACCCAGCGGUAGCACGGGAAGGCCACCUCCGCGCAGGCUCCAGGGCCCUGCACCGUGAUGCGGUCGCAGAACCACGCGUCGUCCACCAGCCAGUGGUGCUUGCGCAGCCUCACGAACUGCAGGAGCCCCAAGUCCUCUGCAACGUCAUGAUCAAACUCCUCCUCCUGUGCAGGCCGGACCCAGGCCAGACUUAGUAGGAGGGACCCGACUGAGGCCGUUUCGAGGACAGAGCCGCGCUCCUGUGCAACCUCAGUUUCUCAGGGCCUCCAAAGACAGCAUCGCCUCGUUCCCGCCCCCGCACAACCUGCUCUUUGGGUCUCAGACGCCCGGAGUCGGGUGGAGGACGAGGGCCCGCAGCGCCUGGAGCUGAUGCUGGAGCAGCAUCGCCCACGUGGGUCCCAUUAACUGAGCUCUCCCCGCGCCGGUUCUUGGAGGAGCUUCACGUCUGACCUCUGGCCUCAUACUUACAUUGGCUCUGGGUCACUGGGAGAAGGAGCUGGGGGCUGCCGGGACCAGGGGCGGGAAAGGGAGAUGGGGUUGAGCCCAGCCCGGGAUCCCAGCUGCGGACCCUGUCCCUAAUCUUGCCCACCUCGUCCCAGCUUCGUGGAAGUCCCAGUCCGCGAGGUCGCGCUGUCACCUCGCCCCCAGCCUCCCGCCCUCCCGCCGCGAGCCCAGCUCGGCCCGGGCCUGGGCCCGGGGUCCCCGCUGCCCUAGCUCCCCUCGCUCCCCGCGCUGACCUCGCCCCGCGCGGGCCGCAGCUGCAGCUCCAGCUCCGCCUCCCCGCGCGUCCCGACCAGCCAAAGCUGCACGCGGUUGUACGACCCGGAGAAGAGCCAGGCCCCGGUGGCCACGCGGAUGCGGUAGCGGCCCAUGGCGCCCCCCAGCAGCUUAGGCGAGGGGAGCCGGGUCCUGUGCGAUUCCCGGGACCGCCCAGGGCUGCCGGCGCCUCGGGGCCACUUCCAACCUUUAAAGGACCGGUCUGCGGCCCCGCCCUCCUCGCAAGUUUUAGGCGCUCCCAAGUCCCCGCCCCAGACUAGCCCAAACCUGCGAGCAGAGCGGUAGAGCCGGCUGUGGGGACUGGCUGUGCCUCCUGGUCGGAGCGUAGCUGCAGGAUGAUAAAGGGGCCCGAGCCAGGGUGAGGCCAACGGGGUGGGUGCGGCGGGACCUUCCUGGACCUCCCGGGAAGGCGGGAUCGAGGUGGGCCUGAGCCCCCGGGUUGGAGCGAACAUAGAUGAGAACACUUCCCGAGGUCUCCAGGUCUUCUGGGGAGCCAGGAGGAAGUAGGGGAUGAGUCCAUCUUCCAAACGGAGGGGAAGGUCUCCGCUUUUCUGGGCUGGGACCCGGGGAAGGCAGUGGGCCGGCUUCUGGAAGGUCGGCCUGGGAGGCCGUGCUGGGGUCUGGGGAUGUCCCGCGGCUAGACCCGGCGCGGCCCAUGUGUCCUCCAGUACCUGAGCUCUGCCGCCCUUGAACGCUGUGCUUCCGUCAACGACCAGGGGUUCCCCAGGGUACCUAGAACCUGGAAAUGUAGCAGCUCAACACCCGCUCCCCACCCCGUUUCAAAUAUCUGGGCGCUGGGGUCCCAAUGUACACCAAAUAUCAUGGGCCAGACCUUUGAGAGAGGCCUGAGGCAGGGCAGUGAAAAACUCAUUUUGUCCAACCUCCGAAGCGGGUACAGACAAUGUUAGGGACCCAGGAACACCAGUCGGGGUGUUAGGGUGCGGGAUGGAAUUGCUUAGGGACCUGGCCUACGUGGCCAGUUCCCAAGAACUUUGUCUUUUCCAGGUGAGUGCAGCCCCUUCCGCUCCAGUAGGUUCCAGAUUAAUUUUUUAUCCCCAAGCUCUUUCCUGCUCCUUCAUGGGUCUCAGGUCUCCUGGAAAUCCAGGAACAGCAAUUAGCCCACUGCUAUUUAGGGCCUUUGUAAACAUUGAAGGAUGAUUCGGAGCUUAGGCUUUCUCUCCCGUGUCAGGAAUCAGUCAGAUGAAGCCUGCUGCACGCGUCCCUGUCUAGAUCUUGAUUCAAGUGAUUAUAUGCAUUUGGAUCUCCGUGGAUGCAUCUGGUGGCCUGGGCUAGGCCAGUGUAAGUUAAAUCUGCUUUCUUGAGCCAGUCCUCAGAAAUGACUUGGUGGCCUAGUUGUUGGUAGAGGUAAGUGAGUGGGAGUUUUAGCCCCGCCUUCCAGCCUCCAGAUCAGACUCUAUCUCAAAAAUAAAUAAAUAAAUAAAUAAAAAUAAAAAAAUAAAGUGUCUGUCCCUUACUGGAUUCAAUUCCCUUUCUUAUCUUCUAGGUCCACUCUGGCCUACAUCCUCUGCUCAGGACUGCAGGUCGGCCAUUUGCUGGUCCCCAGUUCUUCCAGUUUUCUGGGGUCACCCCAUUCUGUAAUAUCCAAAUAAAAUGGCUCAAAUUCCCAUCCUGCCUAA